AUUGAUACUAAGCCAUGCGAGUCAUUGUAGCAAUACAAGGCAGACGGCUCAGUAACACGUAGUCAAUCUACCCUAUGGACGGGGAUAACCUCGGGAAACUGAGAAUAAUACCCGAUAGACCAUUAUGCCUGGAACGGUUUAUGGUCCAAAUGAUUUAUUGCCGUAGGAUGGGACUGCGACCUAUCAGUUUGUUGGUGAGGUAAUGGCCCACCAAGACUAUUACAGGUACGGGCUCUGAGAGGAGUAGCCCGGAGAUGGGUACUGAGACACGGACCCAGGCCCUAUGGGGCGCAGCAGGCGAGAAAACUUUGCAAUGUGCGAAAGCACGACAAGGUUAAUCCGAGUGUUUCCUGCUAAAGGAAUCUUUUGUCAGUCCUAAAAACACUGAUGAAUAAGGGGUGGCCAAGUUCUGGUGUCAGCCGCCGCGGUAAAACCAGCACCUCAAGUGGUCAGGAUGAUUAUUGGGCCUAAAGCAUCCGUAGCCGGCUUUGUUAGUUUUCGGUUAAAUCUGUACGCUUAACGUACAGGCUGCCGGGAAUACUGCAGAGCUAGGGAGUGGGAGAGGUAGACGGUACUCGGUAGGAAGGGGUAAAAUCCUUUGAUCUAUUGAUGACCACCUGUGGCGAAGGCGGUCUACCAGAACACGUCCGACGGUGAGGGAUGAAAGCUGGGGGAGCAAACCGGAUUAGAUACCCGGGUAGUCCCAGCUGUAAACUAUGCAAACUCAGUGAUGCAUUGGCUUGUGGCCAAUGCAGUGCUGCAGGGAAGCCGUUAAGUUUGCCGCCUGGGAAGUACGUACGCAAGUAUGAAACUUAAAGGAAUUGGCGGGGGAGCACCACAAGGGGUGAAGCCUGCGGUUCAAUUGGAGUCAACGCCGGG
rnacentral:rRNA from 1 species